rnacentral:rRNA from 1 species
GAUGAACGCUGGCGGCGUGCCUAAUACAUGCAAGUCGAGCGAAUGGAUUAAGAGCUUGCUCUUAUGAAGUUAGCGGCGGACGGGUGAGUAACACGUGGGUAACCUGCCCAUAAGACUGGGAUAACUCCGGGAAACCGGGGCUAAUACCGGAUAACAUUUUGAACCGCAUGGUUCGAAAUUGAAAGGCGGCUUCGGCUGUCACUUAUGGAUGGACCAGCGUCGCAUUAGCUAGUUGGUGAGGUAACGGCUCACCAAGGCAACGAUGCGUAGCCGGACUGAGAGGGUGAUCGGCCACACUGGGACUGAGACACGGCCCAGACUCCUGCGGGAGGCAGCAGUAGGGAAUCUUCCGCAAUGGACGAAAGUCUGACGGAGCAACGCCGCGUGAGUGAUGAAGGCUUUCGGGUCGUAAAACUCUGUUGUUAGGGAAGAACAAGUGCUAGUUGAAUAAGCUGGCACCUUGACGGUACCUAACCAGAAAGCCACGGCUAACUACGUGCCAGCAGCCGCCGUAA